rnacentral:rRNA from 1 species
UACGGAGGGUGCGAGCGUUGUCCGGAAUCAUUGGGCGUAAAGGGCGCGUAGGUGGCCCGGUCAGUUCGUGGUGAAAGCGCGGGGCUCAACCCUGCGUCGGCCAUGAAUACUGCCGCGGCUGGAGCACUGUAGAGGCAGGCGGAAUUCCGGGUGUAGCGGUGGAAUGCGAAGAGAUCCGGAAGAACACCGGUGGCGAAGGCGGCCUGCUGGGCAGUUGCUGACACUGAGGCGCGACAGCGUGGGGAGCAAACAGG